UACGGGGGGGGCAAGCGUUGUUCGGAAUUACUGGGCGUAAAGGGCUCGUAGGCGGCCAACUAAGUCGGAUGUGAAAUCCCCAGGCUUAACUUGGGAACUGCAUCCGAUACUGGAUGGCUUGAAUCCGGGAGAGGGAUGCGGAAUUCCAGGUGUAGCGGUGAAAUACGUAGAUAUCUGGAGGAACACCGGUGGCGAAGGCGGCAUCCUGGACCGGCAUUGACGCUGAUGAGCGAAAGCCAGGGGAGCAAACGGG
rnacentral:rRNA from 1 species